CAGAGUGGUUGUGACUCACAGCAAAGGCAUCAGAAUGGCAUUAAUUGAAGAAACAAAUGCCCCAAGUGACAGACUCCUUACUGUAAAAGCUGUCGAUGAACCCAGACAAUAAACACUGCAUUCAACACAAGCUUGCCUGCCCCUGUCGCCUCUGUGAGCCAACCAAGUGAGCCCCUGCCACCUCUCAGGUGCUAUGCUGACUUGAUCCCUUUCUCAAGCAACUUAGAGCCUAACGAUGGUAAACAAGCCCUGGAGAGCCAUGAUAAGCAGCUGGGUGUUAUGGGGAGCUGACAGAAUUUUGUGACAAUUCUGGGAAAUGCUUUCAGAUGGCCCCUUUCAUGAAUUAUGAAUGUUCCACAAAGCUCGGUGCUGAGAAAACUGAGCCUUGGAGAGAUGUUUUCAAGUCAAUGAUCCUGCAGCUAACAAGGCUGAGAUUCAAAGCCAGAUCUCCAUGACUCUAAAUUCCUAAAUGCUCUGCCUCUCUAAACAUGUGAUAUGAUCUUAAUUCCAUUUGGUUGCCUGUAAUUCUUCUCUUUAUGUGCUUUGAAAUCUAGUAGGAGUGUGAUAACCCUAGCAUAAAGAGCUACACUUUAUAAUUUUUUGGUCUUGCUAUAUUGUUUCAAGCUUAUAUUGGUAUCUUAGCAAUCUAUUGUGUGUAGUUUAUUUAAACUAAACAAAUGAAAGACAGCAUAUAGAUUCGAGGUUCAGCAAGCAUGUCUUCCAUGAGAAUUAGGUAGGCACCUACCACAGAGAUAGCAUGCAAACAGCAGCAAGUAAAUUGAUGUUUGUUAGUCUGUGCUCUCUCAGAUACACAGAGGAUUUACCUACUUAAUAGGACUUAUAAGAACAAAUCCCCUGAGCAUGAAUGAGAGAAACUGGGCACUGAGGUUCAUCUUUUCACAGAGCUGUCACACAUACUAAUUCAAGGACCACAAACUUUCUGUUUGCUUUUUUUUUUUUUUUUUUCUCAUCAUUCCUCUUUCACUCACCUUUCACUCACCUGAACAAGUGCCAGAUGUAGAGCACUUGAUCCUCCACGCCAAGGUCAUCUUCGUCUGGAUGAACCUGAACUGUCAGGACCAGAUCCAGGGAGGACGUCCUUUUAGAGUCAUGGCAUAUCGGGUUUUCAGAAGUGGGAGGAAACAUAGAGAUCACCUAGUCUACUCUUCUAUUUACUAGGAAGUGAAGAGCCAGGUACUAGGCUGCCCACUCUGUCUAAACUAGAGCAAGGACUCAUCAGCCCACAAGUGUCUUGAGGCUCAUGGUGGCUUUGACUGAGAGAGAACUUGAAAAAAAAUAUAUGUGUGUGUAUAUAUAUAUAUAUAUAUAUAUAUAUAUAAAAUUUAGAAAUGUGGAUUCGGAUUCUCCACAGAAACAAAACUAAUAGAACAUAGAGCUUUAUUAUAAAGAAUUGACUCAUGUGAUUGUGAAGGCUGGCAAGUCCUGGUAUCUGCAGGUGAGUCAGCAAGCUGGAAACCCAGGAGAGCCAGUGGUAUAGUUCCAGUUUGACAGGUUCAAAUCUGGAAAAAGACUGUUUCUAUUCCUAAUAUGGGGGGGAAAAAAACAUGUUCUAGUUCUAAGGCAGGCAGACAGAAAGAGUUCUCUCUUAGUCUGGGGAGGAUUAGCUUUUUGCUCUGUUCAAGCCUUCAACUAAUGGACAAGGCCCAUUCAGAUUAGAGACAACAAUUUGUUUUACUCCAUCUACUGAUUUAAAUGUUAAUCUCAGUCAAAAUCACAGAUAUACCCAGAAUAAUUUUUGACCAACUAUCUGGGCAUCUUAUGGUAAAGUAAAGUAGAUAUAUAAAAUUAAUCAUCAUAUCACCUAAGCUGAGGACUGUAUUUUAUUAAUUCACAUAUCUGUUAAGGACCAAUUCUUUUAUUUAAAAGUUAAAAGAAAAGCAAUUCAGAUAUUCAGAAAAUACUGUAAUUAUUAUUACAGCAAAAAGAAACAAAUGCAUUUGUGCUUAUCUGUUAAAAGUUUACCCGUUCCAUGGAGAGGUCAAUUUGCAUCUAACAAAAUCUUCAAUGGCAUUUACUUGCUCUAAUGUUUUGAUUUGAAUAUUUAGAUAAUUCUUUCUUGUUCUCUAAUAUAUAAGAGCAAAACUCACAGAUGUAAAUAAUAUAAUUAAACUUUAAUCUAGUUAAUUUCAAUGUUUAUUUAGAUAUUUAAACCACUUAAUCUAACGUAGUGAAAAUACAGGGUAUUGCAAUUUGUAGUCUAAAGGAUGUGAAAGACUAAGACUUCUCUACCAUAAAAUGUAACAGCACACUUGGUCUAGUCCUUCAUGAAUGUUUAAUGUUGAUGGAAAUAAAACAGGUUUGUCAUUUAUUUAUUAAGCAGAUUCAUACAAAUAGAUGUAUAUUUAGGAUAAUGUAGGUGAUGGUUUUAAGAUACAUCCACAAAAAAUUCUGAUGCUUCUCCCUUCAAGAGAUAGAGCUUAAUUUCCCCUCCUCUUGAGUGUGGGCUAGGCUUUGUGACUCACUUGUAAUAAAUAUUAUAUGACAGAAAUGAUGGGGUAAAAUAUCUGCGAUUAGGUCAUAAAAGAACAUAAUUUCUGCCUUUCUCUUUCUUGGAUAUCUCUGUAAGAAGCCAGAUACAAUUUCACUCAAAGAACCCUAAGUAGAGUCCAUCUAGUAAGGAAGAAAGGCCUCUCUACAAUAUCCAGCAAGGAGCUGAAGCCUCUGGCCAACAGCCAGAUGAGAGUGAACCAUCUUGGAGGUAACUUCUCCAGCCCCAGUCAAACCUUCAGAUGACUGCAGCCACUACCGAGAUUUUCACUGUAACUGACUGCAACAGAAAACAGCCUGAAUUAGAACCACCUAGCUAAGCUUCUCCCAUAUUUCUGAUCCAAGAAACUGAAAUAAUAAAUAUUUGUUACUUUCAGCUGCUGAAUUUGGGGAUAAUUUGUUAUGUAGCAAUAGAUAACUCAUAUAUAUGAAGUAUAAAUUGCAUCUAUAAUAAGACUUUCUGUCCAUGCUGCUGCUGCUGCUGCUAAAUCACUUCAGUCGUGUCCAAUUCUGUGCGACCCCAUAGACGGCAGCCCACCAGGCCCCGCCGUCCCUGGGAUUCUCUAGGCAAGAGCACUGGAGUGGAUUGCCAUUUCCUCCUCCAAUGCAUUAUCAUUAAUUUACAGUAGGUUACGUUCAUCAUUUACAGGUCAUGUAUUUAAAAGCCAAAAUAGAUUUAUGUGUGUGUCUAUAAGAUUAACACAAUUUUAUCAUUUGUAAAAUAUUAUUUUCUUCAUAGAAUAUCACUAAGCACAAGUGAUACAAUUGUUUUCUGAUGUUUUGGUGAACAAAUUGUCAUGUUACAAUAGCAAAAGCUCGAAAGUUGCUUUGAAAUUCACUUUCAUCUUUCUCCUUUUUGUUUUUUCCAGUUGUAAUGUUAUAGUUUUAAGAGAAAAUAUAAAUGAUGGCUAGUACUUCCAUUUUUUUUUUUUCGCUUGCAAAGCUCAAGGAUAAGUUAAAAGCAUAAUUCAUUCUAAAUAAACUCUAUAAAAAUAAACAAUAUCUAUAAUUAUUUCUCCAAGUUUGAAAUGCUUUCUCCUUUUUGUAUCAAAUCAUUUAAAUUUUUUCUUCUCUUAACACAUCUAUUCAUUCUACAUUGGGAUUUGUUUAUUUGAUCUUUUAUUCCCUGCAACUCUACAUUGUUGUUCUUG
ensembl:lncRNA